rnacentral:sRNA from 1 species
AUUGAAUGUUGACUGUACUAUGGUUAGAUAGUAUUAUUUUAGAAAAAUUAAGAGAACCAAGAAUUUUGGUGAAUUCGACGUUUCUACUCUAUUAUUUUUAUCACGCACGAUCCUAGGUUAUGACGUUUUCAAGGAGUGCGGGACAAGUGCGGUGCGGUUCAAAUAGUAACGAAAACACGUAAAUACAUAUGUAUAUGUAAAGAUUUUGAUACUGUUACAACACUGUUGCGAUGCGAUUUUGGGUGCGGUUUUGGUUAUCAUUCACUAGACAGUAAACAGAAUCUUCCAACCUUUAAUUAAAUUAUAUUUCCAGCAAUGACAUGUAUAUCUCUAAUCACCACUAUAUUUUUUGGAGAUAUGUGAGACUGUAAGUCGCCACUUUUGAACAUAAAUCCAUAUUUCAUUCAAUAAUGCGACCAAAUGACCAAAAAUAAAAUUUGCACCAAAAAAGAAAAAAAAAAAGAGAAAGGAAACAAAAUAAUAGACUAUUAUAUCCCGAAAAAAAAAGUUGCUAACUUCUAGUAACUAACGUUUAGUGUUUAAGAGUAUGAACUUA